ensembl:lncRNA
CGCCCUCAGGCCUUCCGCUUCUGUCCGCCGGGGACCCGGGAAUCGGCAUUUUAAGGGUUCCCCGGCGGCGACCCUCUAAAGCUUCCAUCCCUACCCGCGGGCCGGCCGUGUAACUCGCUCGGCCCUCGCCGCCCGGAGAGGUACGUGGGAGCCGGCUGGGCCCGGGUCCAGAAAAUGGCCGCGAGGACACAGGACGAGCCCGAAGGCCCGCAGCGGCGCGCGGCCCGCCCCCCCGCACGGCGGCCCGUCUCACCGGAGCGGCUUCUUGGAGAGCGGGCACACCAGGAACUCCAGCAGCGCCGGGUCGAAGGCGCGGGCCGGCCCCUCCGGGUCCUCGCUUUUGUCUGCCAACGGCCGCGCCCCGGACGCGUGCAGCCGCCUCUGGGCGGUUGCGGCCGGCGGCGCGCGCGUCCCCCGCAGCGACGAGGCAAGCCGGCCGCACGCUCCCCUCAGCAUGGUCCGCGCCCGCGCCCGCCGCCCCGCUUCGCCCGCAGCCGCCCCACCGCUCCCCGCGGCCCGCCCCGCCGGCCAGGCCGCGCCCCCGGUGCUCGGGAAACGCAGUCCCGCGGGGCGGGCUCUAGCGCUUUGGUUCCGAGGGCCCUCCCGCCCGGAGUGGUUUUCCCGCCGCCCGGAGUGGUUUUCCCGCCGCCCGGCUCUCUAGUUCCGAGGCUUCCGGGGGCUGUUUACCGGCUUUACAAAUUAGAAACAAAACCGAUGCCUAAAUCGGGGCGUCCUCAGUUUUCUCCAGGACCUGUCGCAGGGCUGCGGGGAAGCCAGUGGGCGGUCCUCACAGUCACCCGGUGUGAGACUUGGACCUACGUGUUAUCUCCAAAAUGAGGUUUCAAACGCAGCCGGAGCGGGUGUGCAGAAGCAGUGAUUUGCCUUUGUAAAUCUUUACUGUACCACAGGUCGUGUAACCUUGUUUGGCGCUUUUUUUCCUUUAUUUAAAAACUUGUAAGAACAAGGGGCCCGCCGAGUGGUUAAGUUCCCGCGCUCGCUUCCGCGGCCCAGGGUUGCGCCGGUUGAGAUCCUGGGCGCGGACGUGGCGCCGCUCCUCAGGCCACGCUGAGGCGGGGUCCCACAUGCCACAACUAGAAGGACCCACAACUAAAUAUACAACUGGACUGGGGGGCUUUGGGGAGAGAAGAAGGGAGAAAAAGAUUGGCAGCAGAUGUUAGUUCAGGUGCCAAUACUAAAAAAAAAAAAAAAAAAAAGAUGUAAGAACCUGAAGAGAAUGGCUUAGGCCCCUUAAACACCAAGACGUCCAGAUUCUUGCCCUGCGGGACUCAUUGUCAGUUCAGUUGCAUGAAAAAGCACAACUAAUGCAGUUCUAUUAAUGAGCUUGGAGACUAAUGGGGCAGGUGUCCAUUAGUGAAGUAGGCUAGCCGGUCAUUGGGUUUCCGCCCCUUGUUUGCCUCUGACUCUCCGAGGAAGGGAUGCGGGUUUGGUCCCUUUCUUACCUUGUAGUGGACAAGGGCCUGGGCGCUCGGCGCUGACCGCCUGGUUCCCGGUGCAUAGUUUACCAGCUGUAGGACGCCUGCAAAUGACUUAACUACCCCCUUUCCUGAUCUGUAUGAUAAGAUCAUAAUUGUACCUCCCUCGUGAAAUCCCCUCGUGGGGAUCAAAACGUGAUAGUGCAUGUGCAAAGAGCUUUUAGAAAAGUGCCUGGGACAAAUUAAUGCUCAAUGCAUGUUAUUGUCAUUUUUAUUUCCUCUGUUCUUCCCAGUUCAAUAUACUAGAAGAUUCUUUGUUAGUCGUCAAGUUUUUCCCUUUGUUUUGCUGAAUUUUGCCUUGAACCUUUUUUGCACCAUUGGGUUUUAUCAUUUCACACUGAGCUCCUGGGAGGUAGGGAUGGGAGUGAGGGAUAUACAGAUAUAAAUACAGGAUUAUAUUUUCAAAUUUCUCUUCCACUCAGCAAUGUAAAAAUAGAGAAAUUUUUAUAGUGUUUCUUCACUCUUUAAAAAAAAAUACAUUAUAUUAUUUGAUGCUCUUUGUUCACUAAUGCUCGAAAGAUUUCAGCAGGGGGCUGUUGUCACGGGUGUAGCCUCAGGAGGGACUAGUGUUCAGGUCCCAAGUGAGCGUCACAGUAUUUCCUACUAGCGCAGUAGCAGGAAUUAAUUUUUCAGUUGUAGUUAGUUGAUACUUUGGGCCCUAGGGAGGGAGUGAACCACAGGAAAGAUACGUUUCAGCGAGGGGUGGGGAAGCAAGUGUGACUUCGGCCAGCCCUGAGUGGGCCCCCGCCAGGCUGGGCAGGCUAGGGCCUUGGCCCCCAUGGGAUAGGGGCAGGUACUGGUGCUUAAGACCAGCUUCAUUAGCCUCAGCUCGCCUCACCUGGCGGACAGAUCGCUAUCAACUGGGUUUUCUAACCAGCUAUAAAUAAAUUAGUUUCAGGUUGCCUCUACAUAGAAGGUUUGAAGCAGGCACUGUCUGGAUUAGUCAGGGUUCUCCAGAGAAGCAGAAUUAAUCAGAUGUAUAUAUGGAAGGGAUUUAUUACAAGGAAUUCGCUCACAUGAUUAUGGAGGCUAAGAAGUUCCACAAUCUACCGUGUGCAAGCAGGAGACCCAGGAAAGCCGAGGGAAUAAAUCCAGUCUGAGUCCAAAGUCCUGAGGACCAGGGGAGCAGAUGAUGUAAAUCCCAGUCCAAGGGCAGGAGAAGACAGACAUCCCAGCUCAAGCCACAAGACUUUUGUUAUCAAAAAUUGGCACCACAGAAUGGUGAUAUCAAAGUGAGAGCAGUGUUUGAGGAAACAAUUUAAAAGGUAUGUGGGAGACCAGGGGAAUCAUGUGACAUCAAACAGAAUUUCAGCAAAGGACCAACAACCUCAGUCAUACAUUUUUAUGCAUUUAGCUUUACAGAUAGAACCCCCUUGAUUACAUACUUCUUCCAGAGUAUGCUAAACGUAUAGGAUUAUUGAGCAAAAAUGAGAGGGAGAAAUCAACCGAGGCAACGCAUUAUAGAUACUUCUGCUGGGAUUAAGGAAAAUGGUGUAUUAAUGCACCACACUUAUUGCAACAUGAACUGUGCAUUGCUACAAGAGAUG